AAUAUUGGUCAAUGGAGGGAACUCUGAACCAGCCAUGCCGCGUGCAGGACGAAGGCCCUACGGGUCGUAAACUGCUUUUGCCGGGGAACAACCGUCCCGACGUGUCGGGACCUGAGUGUAACCGGAGAAUAAGGAUCGGCUAACUCUGUGCCAGCAGCCGCGGUAACACGGAGGAUCCGAGCGUUAUCCGGCUUUAUUGGGUUGCAAGGGGGCGUAGGCGUCUUUCGAAGGCAGGGGUGAAAUACAGAGGCUCAACCGUUGCAGUGCCUUUGAUACUGGGGGGCAUGAAUGUGGUCGAAGGCGGCGGAAUGGGAAAAGUAGCGGUGAAAUGCAAAGAUAUGUCCCAGAACCCCGAUAGCGAAGGUAGCUGCCUAGGCCAUAAUUGACGCUGAUGCACGAAAGCGUGGGGAUCGAACA
rnacentral:rRNA from 1 species